rnacentral:tRNA from 1 species
AUAGCCUUAGUUUAAUUUAAAAUUAAAGUUUGUCGUACUUUGGAUGUAUUAUUACAGGUUAUG